GGAGGGGUGGCCGAGUGGUUGAAGGCGGCGGUCUUGAAAACCGCUGUGGGGGCAACUCCACCGUGGGUUCGAAUCCCACCCCCUCCGCCA
rnacentral:tRNA from 2 species